AUGCUACCUUGAAACAAAACAAAGGUGGCUGUGAGCCAGGAAUAAACAAAGCCAUGCACAGACCAUGCAGUGUAGGGUCAAGUCAUGUCAAAGACCAGAUAAUAACAAAUGCAGAAGAGGAGGAAAAGAAUUUAAUCUGAGCAGAAAAAUGCCAAAAUGCCAUUUUUCAGAUGACCACAGCAGUAGCAAGCUUUGUCAAAUAAACAGCCAUCCAGACUUCAGAUUAGAAGAUCAUAAAUACCAACACGUACAUGUAGAUACUCCCAGGAGGGCAGGCUUGGGGAUGAUGAUGAGGAGUGAAAUGACCACACCUGAUUCGUUCAUAGGUAAUCUUUGGGUGUGAGGGCUGGCUGUUCCCAAACCAAGGAGAAUUCUCCCUCCUGCUGCCUCACAAUCAAAGUCAAGUUGGCUAAAAGAGACAGAUCUAUUUUGUUUGAAGUCACAGUGCUGGCAAAGUUUCUUUAAACUUGGAUGAAAUUUUCCCAGGAAAAUUCACUGAUGUGAACAAAUUCUCAAAAAACCAAAUUAAACAACACUCUGGAAAGUUAAGACUGGGCAAAGAAGUGAAAAUAAAGAGAAGACAUUCCCAAUUUUA